UUUCCGUAGGUGAACCUGCGGAAGGAUCAUUAUUGUAUAAACGACGCGCUAGGGCUGAUGCUGACCCGAACAGUCGUUUACGCCCGCGUGCCCUCACCCCCAUGCACCUCACCCCUCUGUGCACCACCGCGCGGGUCCCCCUUUGCCUUGAUCGGAGGGGGGCUUACGCCUUCCCACAAAUUUUGUAUUCAGCGUUGACUGUAUUUUUUGUUUUUGCGUUCACGCUAUCAAUACAACUUUCAACAACGGAUCCCUUGGCUCUCGCUUGGUUGAAAAACC
rnacentral:misc_RNA from 1 species